AUACCUGUGUGGAAAUUGGGGAAAGCGUUCGUGGAGAAGAUGUCUACAUUGUAUAGAGUGGGUGUGGUGAGAUAAAUGACAAUCUCAUGGAGCUUUUGAUCAUGAUUAAUGCUUGCAAGAUUGCUUCAGCCAGCCGGGUUACUGCAGUCAUCCCAUGCUUCCCUUAUGCCCUCCAAGAUAAGAAGGAUAAGAGCCGGGCUCCAAUCUCAGCUAAGCUUGUUGCAAAUAUGCUAUCUGUAGCAGGUGCGGAUCAUAUUAUCACUGUGGAUCUACAUGCAUCUCAAAUUCAGGGUUUCUUUGAUAUCCCAGUGGACAAUUUAUAUGCAGAGCCAGCUGUCCUAAAGUGGAUACAGGAGAAUAUAUCUGAGUGGAGAAAUUGUACUAUUGUCUCACCUGAUGCUGGUGGAGCCAAGAGAGUUACCUCCAUUGCAGACCGGUUGAAUGUGGAUUUUGCUUUGAUUCACAAGGAACGGAAGAAGGCCAAUGAAGUGGACCGCAUGGUACUUGUGGGAGAUGUGAAGGACCGUGUAGCCAUACUUGUGGACGACAUGGCUGACACUUGUGGUACAAUCUGUCAUGCUGCUGACAAACUUCUCUCAGCUGGAGCUACCAGAGUUUAUGCUAUCUUGACACACGGAAUCUUUUCUGGCCCAGCCAUUUCUCGCAUCAACAAUGCAUGCUUUGAAGCAGUAGUAGUUACCAAUACCAUACCUCAGGAGGACAAGAUGAAACACUGCUCCAAAAUACAGGUGAUUGACAUCUCUAUGAUCCUUGCAGAAGCCAUCAGGAGAACCCACAAUGGAGAAUCUGUCUCCUACCUGUUCAGCCAUGUUCCUUUAUAACUUCUGAAGCAUUUUGAAAAUAAACCUACCCCACCCCUUGUUUUUCUUGA